UACGAAGGGGGCUAGCGUUGUUCGGAAUUACUGGGCGUAAAGCGCACGUAGGCGGAUUUGUAAGUCAGGGGUGAAAUCCCGGGGCUCAACCUCGGAACUGCCUUUGAUACUGCAAGUCUUGAGUCCGAGAGAGGUGAGUGGAAUUCCUAGUGUAGAGGUGAAAUUCGUAGAUAUUAGGAAGAACACCAGUGGCGAAGGCGGCUCACUGGCUCGGUACUGACGCUGAGGUGCGAAAGCGUGGGGAGCAAACAGG
rnacentral:rRNA from 1 species